rnacentral:tRNA from 1 species
GGGGCCGUAGCUCAAUUGGUCCAGAGCGCCGCCCUGUCACGGCGGAGGUUGCGGGUUCGAGCCCCGUCGGCCUCG